rnacentral:rRNA from 1 species
AGCGAACGCUGGCGGCAGGCUUAACACAUGCAAGUCGAACGGAGCAUUUCGGUGCUUAGUGGCGGACGGGUGAGUAACACGUGGGAACGUGCCUUUAGGUUCGGAACAACACAGGGAAACUUGUGCUAAUACCGGAUAAGCCUUUCGAGGGAAAGAUUUAUCGCCUUUAGAGCGGCCCGCGUCUGAUUAGCUAGUUGGUGAGGUAAAGGCUCACCAAGGCUACGAUCAGUAGCUGGCUGAGAGGAUGGCCAGCCACAUUGGGACUGAGACACGGCCCAAACUCCUACGGGAGGCAGCAGUGGGGAAUCUUGCGCAAUGGGCGAAAGCCUGACGCAGCCAUGCCGCGUGGAUGAUGAAGGUCUUAGGAUUGUAAAAUCCUUUCAGCGGGGACGAUAAUGACGGUACCCGCAGAAGAAGCCCC